GCCUGGUUUUGGAGCUGAAGUUGUGAUAACCCUGCCCCGCGUAUUAAAUCUGCUCUUUGGGAUUUGUCGGCCCUGGCAGAUGGGGUCAAACGAGACCUGAGGAGUUAGGCUGAAGUCAUACGCGCAGUGAUGGUUUGUCCAAAGCGGAAGGUGGUUAGGUGGGUAAAACCACCAGUCUGCUACCCAAACUGGUCAGGCGGGAAGAUGUCACGUCGUAUCGUGAGCUCUUCGUAGUGUCCUGCUCUUUGAUGAAGCCUCAUCUCACAAAGCAGGACGCCUUUCACAUUUUCAUCGUGGUUGCGUUGCGCUUGAAAUUGUACCGAACAGCUGUUUUCAACGGCGAUGGACAGAAUGAAGAGGUGAUGGGUACACAAACCAGCACAAGCAGCGUGGUAAACCGUCAUUUAAGGGUGAAGGUGUAACGAUGAAGGAUACCCAGGUGUAACGAUGAAGGAUACCCAGGUGUAACGAUGAAGGAUACCCAGGUGUAACGAUGAAGGAUACCCUAGGAAAUACUUCUGAAUACUAUUAGAGGGCACGCGUUGGUGUUCCCAGAGCACAGAACCAGACUGCGGUCCUUAUCUGACAAUGAGAAGAGAUGAAAGGAUUUGAGGAUUUAGCAGAAUAAGAAAUGUACUGACCUAAUCCUCCUGUUUUCUGCUUCUGACAACGACGAGCUUCCAUAUUGCGUCCCGUGGUGCCACAGCUACGCCGUAUAUACCCAUCCUCUAUAAUUUCUGACUUGGAAUUCUCCUUUUCAUACGUUCUGAAAGAAGUAUAUUAUGUAGAAGUACAUACCGGAGUACAUCGAAGCUUGGAGACAAAUAAACUCCACGUUAAGGCUGUCGCUUUGUAGUGCAUGGGUAUUGCGAGGGAUGUAGACCAGUAGCUCAUCCGAUGUGCCAUAUGUGCUGUGUAUCAGCCUGGUUUUUUACAACACAGUGAAUUAAAUACAUUGAAAUUCACACUUCUGUU